AUCAUUUACACAGCGACAUCCCGAGUUCCGGUGACACAUCUACACAUGCAAUGAGAGUAAAAUGUGAUGAACACCAGAUGGAGUUUUCUGCACCUAUUGACUGAUUCCGUAAACCAUAUCUAGCCUCAUGGAGUCCCUAGCAGACUUCACAGGAGGAGGACUCUACAGUUCAUUCCCCUCUAAGGGCCACCAUAGAUCUGUCAAGUACACCAAACUACAUUCCAACCACGAUGGAGAUGAUGAGAGUCUGUAUGAUGAAAGUCUAGAACAAGUGGCCUUAAUGGAGGAUAAUUCUGAUGACAAUUAUAAUACUUCGGAUACUGAACGAGGAAAUGUCUUCACAGUCGAAGAUGCUGUUGAAUCUAUUGGAUUUGGGUUUUUCCAGAUUCGUCUCUACAUAAUAUGUGGUUUGUUCACUGUUGCUGAUGCAUUGGAAAUGAUGUUGCUUGCAGUGUUGUCCCCGGUGCUGCGCUGUGAAUGGCAGCUAGAUCACUACCAUGUUGCCUUUUUAACCACUGUUGUAUUUAUUGGGAUGUGUUUACUGGCACCUGUGUGGGGAUUUAUAGGCGACAAAUAUGGCAGACAAACGACGCUGUACAUGGUGACCUUGUGGAUCGGGUACUUUGGUUUUCUGACCACCUUUAGUCCGUCCUUUAUGUGGGUGCUUAUUUUACGUGGUCUUGUUGGAGCAGGACUAGCAGGCUCUCCUCAAAGUUUUGCCCUACUUACAGAGUUUUUACCUUCAAAGUCAAGGGCAAAAAUGUUGCAAAUUGGUGGUAUAGCGUGGGCAAUGGGGACUUUGUUUGAGAUAACUGUAGCUUCUCUAGUCAUUCCAACCCUGGGAUGGAGAUGGCUUGUUGCCCUCUCAGCCAUUCCAUCAUUUCUCAUCUGUAUCUUACUUAAGCUACUGCCAGAAUCAGCUAGAUAUCUUGUUGCUGCAGGAGAGAAGGACAGGGCACUUAGCGUUCUACAGAAAGCUGCCAAAAUUAACAAGGCCAGUCUCCCAAAAGGAACACUGACAGUGUCCAAAAGUGGAACUCGGGGAAACUUUCUUGAUUUGAUGUCGCCAGAAUAUCGCCGGACGUCCUUACAGAUGUGGCUGAUGUGGUUUGUCACUGCGUUCUCUUACUAUGGGAUGGUGCUAGCCAGCGCAGAAAUUCUACAAAUCCACAACAGUGGGGAAAACUCAAAGGAUGCUGAAAGCUGUAAAUGUAAUCUGCUGAAACAUGAUGACUAUAUAACUAUGUUGGUAUCUACUUUUGGAGAGUUUAUAGCUCUCCCCUUGAACCUUCUGCUGAUUGAUCGGAUCGGCCGACGUUACACUGGUGCUGUCAACAGCUGUGGAAUGGCCAUCUUUUUCCUCCUUCUCCAGGUGAAAAUGCCACAAAGCUUGCUGACCGUUAUCAUGUUCAUGGUGCGGGGAUUAUCUCAAGGAUUGUUUAAUUUUGUUUACAUAUACACUGCAGAGGUGUAUCCCACCACCAUUAGGACACUGGGAAUAGGACUAGCCUCUGCCUGGGCUCGAGUUGGUGCCAUGUUGACUCCUUUUGUUGCACAAGUUUUACUGGAUAAAUCUUUGACAGCAGCUGUAUGGGUGUAUGGAUCUCUAGGUUUGCUGGCCUCAGUGUGUGCAAUUCUCUUACCUAUAGAAACCAAGGGAAGAGUACUACCGCAAUCUAUAAGAUAAACACACAGAGACAACAUGACUUCAAGAGAGCAGGUUUAACUCAUUAAUGGAGGUUGUAUCUCGAUGAAGAGCAGGAUUAACUCCUUAAUGGAGGUUGUAUCUCAAUGCAGUCUUUCAUCAGCACCUCAAUGUGCAAGUUUUACAACACGAUGUUUUUACUCAGAUUAAAACUCAAUCUUUUAACAUACUCGAAGGCAAAGAAAAUCGAUCAAUGCAGAUGAUUAUUUUUAAUAUAUAUAUACAUGUAUUUACUCCUUUACACAGCUUGGCAAUUAUAUUUUUAAAGCUUUAUUUAAAACCCUUACAUAGCAAUGCAUGUAUAUACCAGUAAGUAGAAUUUGCAAUUUGUAACAUUUAAUGUUUAUUUUUGGAUGUCAUAAGUCCUAUCACAAACCAGGCCAUGCAGACAAAUUGAAUACCAUGUACUGUGUGUGAGCGGGGUAUUUUAAUUUGUCUGCAGGGCAUGAUCUUUUGUGAGCAUGACUUAGUGUGUUAUAGGCCUGACAACAUCCAAAAAUAAACAUUCAAUGCUUAUAGUUAUAUUCAUAUUGAUGUUUAUUUUUAUAAAUAUUUGUUUAUUAUUGCUUUAGAGCGUUUUACACGCUCUUAGUCAGGGUUGUGAAAUAUACAUGGAACAGCCAUAUGUUGAUAUAACAUGUUAUUUAGUUCGCUUCAGCGAAAAAAAUAUCAGUGUCAGAAACUUUGUCGAGAAAAAUCUUUUUUGUUUAUGAAAAGAUAUUAUUUUUCAUAAGUACAUAUCAAAUGGUUAUGUAAGUUAAAACGUUUCAUUUAAUCAUAUAAUGAUAGAUAUAUUCAAAUGCAUGAUAAUAUUAUACUUGUGCUCAUGUGCUGUGACAAGGCUAAAUGUUAAUUUUAAAAUGUAAUAAAUUUAAAAUGCAAACAUAAGGGAAAAUGUACACAGAAUGUAAAUAUAUAAUUUUUACCAUUUUUAUGAAGGAUAUUAAAAGAAAAUAUUUUUUUAAUUUAUUUUUUAGAACUACAAUGGUCUAAGCUUAUUUUGUCUGAAUAAAAAUAUCAAAUUCCAG
rnacentral:misc_RNA from 1 species